AUUGCCAACGUCGGUGCGACCCCCUAAUCAUCCCUGAUAAGGAUGAGGCCCCUGGUUCAAGUCCAGGUGGGCCCA
rnacentral:tRNA from 1 species